GACAAAUCUAAAGAUGCAGAGAGCCGUCACAGCAGCCGUGACCCAGUCCACAACCACACAGAGCACCACAGUCAUCACCAAGUCUAGAGAACAAAUCCUCACGCAGAGCUCAGGAGCCAUGAUAGCUGUAAUCGUCAUUGGUAUAAUCAUCAUUCUCACAUUUUUGCUGAUUAUCCUCAAGACAUACAACAGGAGGACCCAUGCGAACAGGAUGCUGAAUGGAGGCUCCAACAAACCACGAAAGAAGGUGUCCUCAACUACCACCAACACAAACCUGGCCAUGAGCAACGUGGUUGCAAACUCAGUCUCUGGAAGCUUUGCGCAGUCUAAUGCGUCCUCAGAGAACGGGUACCGCAUUCCUCGCGUCGACCUGGGAAACGUGGAUCUGAGUAAUGGGGAGCAUUUCAGCACCAACAGCGGCUCAACUAUUGUGACGAUACAUGACAUGCCAUCAGUAGAUAACACAUAG
rnacentral:lncRNA from 1 species